rnacentral:rRNA from 1 species
AGGUGCGAUCAUACCAGAAAUAAUGCACCGGAUCCCAUCAGAUUUCCGCAGAUAAGCGUUCUUGGGCGAGAGUAGUACUAGGAUGGGUCACCUCCUGGGAAGUCCUCGUGUUGCACUUC